GAUGAAGAACGUAGCGAAAUGCGAUACUUGGUGUGAAUUGCAGAAUCCCGUGAACCAUCGAGUCUUUGAACGCAAGUUGCGCCCGAAGCCAUUAGGCCGAGGGCACGCCUGCCUGGGUGUCACACGUCGUUGCCCCCCCAUCUACUCCUUCGGGAUUGCGGGGGGCGGAUGAUGGCCUCCCAUGCGCCUCGUCGCGCGGUUGGCAUAAAUGCCAAGUCCUCAGCGACGCACGCCACGACAAUCGGUGGUUGCGAAACCUCGGUUGCCCGUCGUGUGCGGUCGUCGCGCAUCGAGGGCUCGAAAAAAUUGCCGGGCUCCGGCUCGGCUUUCAACGCGACCCCAGGUCAGGCGGGGUUACCCGCUGAAUUUAAGCAUAUCAAUAAGCGGAGGA
rnacentral:misc_RNA from 1 species